ACCCCCGUGGGCCACGUGACCUCCGCACGACGACGAAAAGCUACACCCCCAGCCUCCGAGCCAAUGGGUAUAGAGGUUCCGGGAGGGGGCAGGGCAUAGGGGCGCAUGCACCUGGGGCCUUCUGGUCAGUGCACUCUUGUAGUGCUGAGCGGUUGCGGGAGACCUCUACUAUCUGUCUUGCACAAAUUAUUGCCGGUGGCUCCGCAGCUUGUAUUGCAAUCUCCAACAUCUGUUCUCUUUCCUCACGCUUAGUCCAGGAUUAGCGUCACGUAGAUGCUCCAGAUUCCGAGAAAAACAACCCAGAUUGUGUGGAAGAGAUGGGGGAUUCUAGCGGAAGCGCUAGCCACGAGCUGCUUGGAGAGCUUUGAAAGAGGAGUAGUGGGGUCCUCGUGUGGCGGAGGAAACAGCGCAGGAAAAAGGAGGGUUGGAGGAUCCCCGAUCUUCCUGAUUGUGCUUCAAGGCUGGAAUAAGCUGAAAGUAAUCACCGGUGUGUGGUGGAACAGAGUUGAGAUUUCCUAAAGAGUGAAUAGUACAUAUUUUCCCUGCUCAGUUAGUGGAGAGAAAACGUUUUUUAAAUCUCUGGACGUCGUGGGGCGUGGUGGCGCGCGCCUGUAAUGCCAGCACUUUUGGGAGGUUGAAGCCGCAGUAUCGCCAGAAAUCCGAGAUGAGGAUGGACUGCAUAUGGAGACCCUAUUUCAAAAAAGAAAAAAAGCCCCCAGAUAUCAAAAGGGAAUUUAUUCUGUAUAGAAGACUGCAAUAUGGUCCAGGGCUUGGAUUGGGAGCUACGUUUUGAUAUUAGGGACCAGGAAGGACAGCUACCUGUUCAAAAGUAAUCGUGUUUCUCCUUUUGGAAUUCUGCAGAGGAACCGCAGGGUAUUUAUUUUCAUUUUUGCUUUAUAUGAAACCUCGUCAGUGAGGCGAAAAUAUUUUACUCUGGGUCAUCUUGUUAUUUAAGUAAUAACUUUUAGUAACAGUGUAAGGUGGUGUUACCCACAUCUGGGGAAUCCUAGAGGAUGUCAUAUAUUGCAAAAAACUCACUACAGUGAUGGCCCUUAGAGAAGAAGUUGAAAAUGCAUGUACAGGAAUCUCAAUGACCAAGGUUACUGGAGCAGCAGUUUGCCAUGCUAAUGCCAUGCUAAUGGUCAGAAGCUAAUGGCCACCGCCUUGAGCACCACUUGUAACUCUAGAGGCCAAAGGGUCCAAGCUGUCACAUUUGGGGGCUCAUCUGGGAUGGAAGCAAGACCCCUGACUCAAUUCUGAACACCUAAAAUAAAACGAUGGCCUGCCACGCAGCACCCUGGAACAAAAAGCUGUGUGUCAUCCAGAUGAAGCCUGCUCUCUGAUCCGGAAUGCCAAAAUGCCAAAAUCCGGAAUGCCAUGUUUUCCUUUUGUCCCGAUUGAACAACCAGAGGUAAGGAGGUUCCCUCCAGUAUCACCAGUUGUUCUCUUUGCAACUCAGUCAGCCCCUCAUGUUAGACAAAAAUUGCAAAGGUUUGAGAGAUUUGAGAAAAUGCCCCUCAGCCAGUUAAUAGAGAUAGCACAAAAGGUCUUUGAGAACUGAGAGAAUUUAUAAGAAGCUACCAACAAGAAGAUAACCAAAGUGUUAGAAUUGCUCUAUGAGAGAGAAUUAAAAAAAAAAAAAAAAAAAAAAAGUAUGAGAGUUUCUGGGGGUGGUUGGAUACUGUAGUCUAUGGAUUCUAAAUUUUACUGAAAAGCUCACCCCCAAUAUAACUCCCUUAAGGGGGGAAACUCAGAAUUCACUGAACUGGACUGAUAAAUGUGAACAGGCCUUCGAGCAGCUCAAGUGGGCCUUGACAGAGGCCCCAGCCCUGGGAUUCCCUGACCAUUACUAAGCCGUUCACCUUGUUCAUAGAUAAACUCAGGGGCAUUGCCAAAGGAAUCCUAACCCAGGACAUUGGCCCUUGGAAGAGGCCUAUAACCUACCUCUCCAAAAGAUUGGAUCCGGUGACAGGAGGAUGACCCCCCUGCCUGAGAAUGCUAGCUGCUGUGGCAAUGUUACUUAAAGAUGCUAAAAAAAACUUACUUAUGGACAGAAGAUUUCUGUGGUGAUCUCCCACAGUUUAGAGACUCUUAUCAAAACCUUUCCCAAAAAAUGGCUUUCAAACACUAGAAUUUUAUACUAUUAGGCCCUGCUCCUAGACCCAGAGUUGGUAGUUUUCAAGACUUCUUCAGCUUUAAACCUAGCCACCUUUAUGCCUGAUGCCGACCCAGAGGAACAAAGGACACCUUUCCAUGAGUGUGCUGACAUCCUCGAACUACAGCAGAACAUAUGGGCUGAUCUUACUGACCAGCCUUUGGGAAAUGCCAACAACUAUUUCACCGAUGGAAGCAGCUUCAUCCAGAACGGCAAAUGAGUGGCCGGGGCAGCAGUGACCACCAAAAAGGAGGUACUCUGGGUUAAGUGGUUAGAGCCUGGCACCUCUGCCCAAAAGGCGGAGCUCAUUGCUUUGACUGAGGCACUAAAACUAGCCAUGGGAAAGAGGGUAAACAUCUAUACUGACAGUAGAUAUGCUUUUGCUACUGUACAUGUACAUGGAGCCAUCUAUCAGGAGCUGCUACUGUACAUGUACAUGGAGCCAUCUAUCAGGAGCGAGGUCUUUUAACCUCGGCCAGAACAAAGAUAAAAAAAUGUUCCACAGAUCCUACACUUGCUGGCAGCAGUCUGGCUGCCUCAGCAGGCUGCUGUUAUUCACCCUAGGAAACAAUUUGGCAGAUCAGGCCACUCGAAAAAUAGCCACUACAUCAGAGGGGCCAACUGAGGAGGUAACUGCGCUGAUGUUGGUUCCUCCCACUUUAUCAGAACCGAUCUACAUAGAGAAGGACCUGCAGUUAGUAUCUCAACGUGGAGUGCAGUCCCCCACCCCAGGGGGCUGGUACCAGUUACCUGAUAAACGAAUACUGUUACCGGAGGCACUAGGGUGGAAGCUCUUACACUGGGCUCACCAAACUACCCAUUUAGGGGGAACUAAACUUGCUGAAUUAUUCAGAACUCAAUUUUUUAUUCCAAAACUCUCCAAACUGACCGCGUCUUUGAGCUCCAGAUGCCCACAGUGCUUGUUAGUCAACUCAGCCAAGAGCUCUACACUGGAGACCACCCAACAUUGAGGAAUUGUUCCAGGAGAACAUUGGGAAGUAGACUUCACAAACAUGGUAAAGCCUGGUUUACAGGAGCACUGCUAUCUCUUGGUAUUAGUGGACACCUUCACUGGCUGGGUAGAGGCUUUCCCUACUAAGUGCGAGUCAGCCUUAGUGGUAGUUAAAAAGCUAUUGCAUGAGGUCAUACCUCGAUUUGGCCUCCCACUAUCAAUGGGGCCCGAUAAUAGCCCAGCUUUCAUAGCCCAAGUCACCCAAAAGUUAGCCCAGGCAUUAAAGAUUAAUUGGAAACCACCGUGCCUAUCGGCCACAAAUCUCAGGGCAAGUAGAACGUAUGAACCAAACUCUCAAGGACACUUUAGCUAAGCUGUCUUUAGAAACUGGCGAUAAUUGGGUGAGCCUUCUUCCCUUUGCUCUGCUGCAAGCUAGAUGUACCCCAUAUGCUUCUGGAAUUUUCCCCUUUGAAGCUAUGUUCGAAAGACCCCCUCCACUGGUCCCAAGACUGUCAGAGGACAAAUUAGUUGAAAUAACUAACCAAGAUCUCAUUAAGUCCCUGCAGACACUCCAGCCUGUGUUGGCCUUGAUCCACCAGCUGUUUAGACAAAAACACUUGCACCUGCCUUCAGAGACGCCAAUCAAAGCACCCAUCAAGCCAGGAACUUCUGUCCUGGUGCAACGUCAUGAUGGAGACUCCCGGAACCCUGCUGGAAAAGCCCCUUUACUGUGGUGCUCAGUACCCCUCAUUGCUGUCAAGGUAGCAGGAAAAACUGCAUGGAUUCACCAUACUCACAUAAAGCCAUUGGAAACAGCGGACAACAAGGGACAUACUCAGUGGAUUAUACAACAGACUGGUAACCCCUUGAAGUUAAAAUUGACUAAACAUAGUUAGAUUAUACCAGUCAUGAACUGCUUUAGCUUGCUUGCUUUUGCUCCUUCUAUCCCACUGCUGGGGAUUUUAAUAACAUUGAUGCUGACCUUGCACAGUGGCUUUGGUCCCCCUGUAAGCAAAGAACAAUUGUUAAAAUCUUUUUAUGGGAGCCCGUGAUUGUGGAGGGGGCUAUACUAAAGGUGAAGACACUGGCUGGGGGAAUUAUACAUACAAUAGGAAAAAAGGAUUAUGAUCCUUCCCACAUAAAUGAUAAAUUAUAUACAUAUAGUCUUUAGACAGAUUGUAGGGACAAUUUAGCAUUCCUUGUUACUAUACCCUCAGUUACAGGGGGUUUGACUCACAUGUGGAUGUGUAAGUUAAAACCCCGCGUGAUGCCUAACAAAGGCAGCUAGCCAGGGCCAUCCCCUCAGAAUUGUUCUUUUUUUUUUUUUUUUUUUCCGUCUUUUUCCUUUUUAUCGGUACCGGGGACUGAACUCACGACUGCCUGCUUGCAAGGCAAGUGCUUAUGCCACUGAGCUAAAUCCCCAGCCCCCAGAAUUGUUCUUAUUAAAAAAUAAUGUUUCCCCAGAUACCUUACCACCCCUUGAUGCUGCCUAAAUCGCGGGGAGUUGAUCUGGAUGCUUAAACUUCUGAUAUUCUAAAAGCCAUUCAUAAAGCCUUAAAUGCUUCCAACCCAAUUUUGGCUGAAGAUUGCUGGUUAUGCAUGGCACAGGGCUCCCCCAUGCCCCUUGUGAUCCCCACCAAUGUUUCUCUGACCACUCUGGAGGAACAAGAUUACUUAAAUUGUAGUGCUGGUCCCCCCUUUAGAGUAUAACCAGUAGGCUUCAAGGACUCUCCCUGUCUCCAAGAAGGUUUUCAUAAGGAUACCUCUGACAUUGAUGUGGGGUUUGUUGCAUUUACUAAUUGUAGUUCCAUAGUUAAUCAGACUACCUCCCUUUAUCCCACUGAAGGACAAGUAUUUAUUUGUAAAGGAAAUAUGGCCUAUACUUUCCUCCCAACUAACUGGACAGGGAUAUGUGUACAGCUGUCCUGUUGCCUGACAUAGAGAUCCUGCCGGCAGAUGCGCCUGUCCCCAUUCCUAGUUUAGAUUACAUUACAGGCCACUCAAAGAGGGCAGCUCAAUUUAUUCCUUUAUUGGUAGGCCUAGAAAUAUCAGGAGCCUUAGGUAUGGGGGCAGCAGGAGUAGGGGUUUCUGUCCAACUUUCCAACCAGAUUGUUAGUGAUGUGCAAGCAUUAUCUAGUACCAUUCAGGUCAUUCAAGACCAAAUAGACUCAUUGACUAAAGUAGUUCUCCAAAACAAAAGAGGACUAGACCUAAUGGCAGAACAAUGAGGGAUCUAUGCGGCAUGGCAGGAAUGAUGCUGUUUUUAUGUAAAUAAGUCCAGCAUUGUCCGGGAUAAAAUCAAGAGACUACGGAAAGACCUAGUUUUAAAAAAAAGAGCUAUUUAAAAACCCUUUAUGGAGUGUCUAGAAUGGAAUCCUGCCCUAUCUCCUGCCCUUGCUUGGGCCAUUGUUAGGAGUACUGCUUUUGGUCACAGUAGGUCCUUGUAUACUCAAUAAAAUAACUGCAUAUGCCAGACAACAAAUGCAAGGCAUAAACCUUGUUCCCCAAAAUUGGUCAAAGAUUUGGCCUCAGUCACAACAUCAGAGGGGAAUGUUGUAAGCUAGUUCUAACCAAUGCACCUCCUUCCUGUUCUGUAUGUGCCAUUUCGAUAGAGAUUAAAAUUCCAUUUCCAGUAAAGACUUAAGUUUCAGUUUCUUGUAAUCCCCCCCACCCCCUUCAGCCUAUCUGUAAUACAAUAUGCUGUCCUUAAGAAACGUUUAACUACAAGGAAGUUACAGGAGAUACCAAGAAGCCCAGAUGCUAUCAAACUGUGUCAAAGUUUGCAACAUUCCUGGGUUUUUGGCUUUAAAACCCAACCCUUUUAGCUGUAAGGUGCACAGUCUCCAUAUUGGCUCCCAGAGAUUGUGUCACCAGGCCUGGCCUAAAAUAAAGCCUUUGCUCCCUAAAUUUUAAUUUCUUGCUUCCUUGGGUUUUAUUCCGGCGUAUGAGCCAUCACAUUUAAUAGCCAAAGAAAUCUUGAAAAAGAACAAAGGUAGAGGCAUUACAUUACCUGAUUUCAAAACAUAUUAUAAAGCUACUCUAGUUAGAACACCAUUAUCAGAGACCUGGCCUAGAUCCCCUAAAUGAAUGUAUAAUGAAGGCUUAAUAAAUGAGACAAGUGGUAUGAUUUUAGGGCUCUAGGAGGAUCAAAACCCUCUAUAGAGUUCGAGACUCUGGAGGCUAAGACCAGGAAUGUCGUUAGGUAGCCAUAUAUAUUUAGUUUCCAAAAAAGGAAGGGGUUAGAGUGGAAAGCACAGGAAACUGAACAGACCUUGGGAAUGGUUCAAGGACUUUUCCAAGUAACAGAUUAUGUUUACUUUAGGAGAAUGAUCUUAUGUUAAUUUAGGAGAAGAUCGCCAUGUUGCAUUUCACUACAGGAAUGAAAUGCCUGCAGCUACAGUCUUUAGUUAAUUGGAAUUGGAUCCAGGUAUUCUGAACUAUGACCUUAUCUUGCCUUUCAAGGCAUCUCUUUGUUCUCAGGUCAGCCAUGCCCUGGCCAUACCACAGCCCUGUACGUGUGUUCAAUUUCCAGUUUCAACUGUUCCCAACACACCAUGGUACUAGCAUAAAAACAGACACAUCAACUAAUGAAAAAGAAGAGAAAGCCUGAAACAAACUAUUUAUUGCCAAUUGAUUUUCAAAAAAAGUGCUAAGAAUGUACAAUGGGGAAAGGAUAAUCUCUUCAGGAAAUUGUACUAGAAAAACUGGAUAUCCAUUUGCAGAAUUAAAUUAGGGGACUGGGGAUUUAGCUCAGCAGCAUAAGCACCUGCCUUGCAAGCCCACAGUCGUGAGUUCAAGCCCCAGUACCAAAAAAAAAAAAAAAAAAGAAUUAAACUAGGACUCUUCAACUUUAGUACUUGGGAAGGCAGUAUUUUCAGACCCCAUUGAGAAAAGCCAUUGAAAAGGUCACAAGCCUAUAGUUCUGAAGAAAGGAAUAAAGAUAAGCAAUCAAGAAAAUGCCUUCUCUUUAUAUUGAUGUGCCAAUCCACAGUGAUCACCUAAAAAGUAUUGAAUGUCUUAUAAAGGAGUUCAUUACCUGGUAUGGUGGUAUAUUCCUGUGUCUUAGUUACUUUUUACUCACUGCUGAGACAAAAUACCUGAAGCCCAGAGUUGGGAAAGGAAAGGUUUAUUUCUUACAGUUUUUGGAGGUUUCAGUCCACACUCAGUUGGCUCCAAGGCAGGCGGGCAUGGCUGGGCCACAGUUCAUGGUGGCUGCAAACAGCAAGCAAGAACCAGCAAAGAGCAAGACACACCUUUUUCCUGCCAUUACAUCACAUCCUGGCUCCACCCCUAUGUGGGUGGAGCACUGACACCAUCAAUCCAAGCACUAGACAAUGAAGCAUCACAAAUGCACAAUGCAAACUUAUGAGGCCUGCGGGCCACAGACAUAAACCAUGACAGCGUGCAAUCCCAGCACUUGGGAGGCUGAGGCAGGAUCAUCAUGAGAUGGGCUACGUAAGCAAGUUCAAGACCAGCCUGCACUACAUAGUGAGGCUCUGGCUCAAAAAAAUAAAACAACAGCAACAAAAAGUUCAUUACGCAUGUGGGCUUAAUUAUAGAGCAAGUAAUAUGUGACCACAUGGAAAAGAUCAUGGCCUUCUGUCUAAAGAAAGCACAUAACCAAGGUUGGUCGCAAAAUGAAAUUACUAAAGUAAAUGCAAAACAAGAUACAUUCUCACAGAUGCAGAGAAAAAAGCCAAAGAAAUCAAGUAAGAAAAGAGAAAAAGAGAGGUAGAGAGCCUGUCCAAGAGAUACAAUCUAUGCAUAAUAGGAAUACCUAACACAGAGGGUAAGGCAAAUGAGACUGAACUAAUUAAGGAACUAACUGAAAACUUUACAGAGUUGAAGAACAAAAUAGGUCUGCAAAUGAAGGUGGCUCACAGGUAUUUUUAAAAUUUGAUGAGAAGAAAGUUACACCUAGACACAUCUUUGUGACUUUUCCAAAUUUCAAGGAUAAAGAAAACAUUUUACAUGUAUUCAGGCAGAGAAAGAUUACCUAUAAAGAGGCAAAAUCAGAGUGGCCUCAGGUUUUUCUCUUGCACUUCUAAAUGCCAAAAGAAAUGAACAAUAUAUUUAGAGUUCUAAGGAAAAAUAAUUUUGAAUGAAUUACUGUACAUACUUUGCCCAGUUAGUUUUAUGGAUAAAGACAGCUAGAAGACAUAACCAAGGGGUUAAGAAAAUGUAUCAACUAAGAACUUCCUCUGAAAAUUUUGCUGAAUAAUUUACUGUAGCCAACAGAGAAAUUAAAAAGUGUAAAUGCAAAAUAUACUUGUAAAAAAAGAAAGAACCACACGUGGAGUAGAUCAGGAGGUAGGGUCCACCGAGAUGCUAUUUAUAGGAAAUAUAAUUAACAUGAAAAAGAGUACAUGGACUGAAAACCAAAUAUGAGAAACCAAUGCUCUAUGUGACAGAGAACAAGAGAGUAAUAGGGGCAACUAGACCAGUAUUUGUGGAUAGAUUGGAAAGACAGGCUUUAAUAGGUAAAGGAAUACAAUUAGAGAUCAAGUCCAGGAUAGAGAAGAUUUGGAACUACUUAGGUAAAUAGCAGGUUGCCUCCCCUACCCAAUUUAAAACCAAGGGUCUUGGUCAGACCCAGAAAUGUACAGUGAGUGUAUCCUGGGGAAGUGAAAGGUGAGGGAGAGUCUUUAAAAAGAUGGCAGAAGAUAUUGUUAAUAGUGUAACAGGAUUUAAAACCACAUUACUCGAACCACUCUGCUUAGAUAGAUUUUAUUCUGUCCCAGUUUGUCUACUUGCAUUAGAUUUGAGGGCACAGAUAGCUAUCCCAAAAACAUCCGGAUAUAGCACAGUAAUCAUCUUUAAUUUCCUAUUAUCUUAAUAUGGAGCCCUGUACGACUUACUCUGUUUUAUCAUGACUGAUCUUAGUUAAAUCUGGUUUGUUUGAUUGCUGUUUGGUUUCAACAGAUUUUAUUCAAAGCUGAUAUGACUCAUAGUAUCAAGUCUGAGAGUAUAGGCAACUACACUGAAGAUGACAAGACUGAUACACAUUCUGGUUUGAUAACUGCCUGUUUUUGAAGUUCUAUACUAUAUACAAAGUUGUGUUUUUAUUAAUACUGUUAUGUACUGAUAUAUUCAAUUAUACUAUGUCUGAUGAGAUAGCCAAUUCUAUUGAAGAUAACAAGAGACAACACAGGAACUAGGAUAGAUAACAAGAGACAGAUAGAUAGAUAACAAGAGACAACACAGGAACUCCUUGUACAACAGUCUUAUAUGUCUUUUUCGUUUCAUGUGUUUAUAGGAAUAUGUUUUGUUUUGUUUUGCUUUGUUUUGUUUCUCCCUCUAAUAUUGAAAGGAUAGAAAUACAUGUUAAGACUCAUGCAUGUGUAGAAUCUAUAAACAGUUUAUGAGAACUGAUCUUAUGACACAUAAUGAAAUGAACAGAUACUUGAAGACAAAGAGACGCUAAAGUACCCAGUGCUGAUCCUGGAGUGUCAUAAUGUGAUAUCCAGCAAUAGUAAGUAUUAUUCUUUGUUCAGAGUGAUAUUAGCCUGCUUGGGCGUGUUCGAUCUCAGCAUAAUUGAAGAUAUGGAUAACUGCAUGUAUGUUUAAGUGUAUAGGAUUGAUAACCACAUUUCUAAGUUUUUGUUGGAUAGUUGAACAGAAAUGGUUGCAGUCUCACUGAAUCCCCACUUUAUAUGCUCCACUUUAGUAUCUUGAAUAACUAUUUGUAAGAGGACAAUUUGUAAUCAUCAACUAGUGAUUUUCUUACUGUUUAUUUUUUUCUUUGAAAAUAUGUAUUACUUCUACCCAUUUUCUGUUUUCUUUAGUCUUUCUUUAAAUAAAAUUUUAAAAAAAGACACUACAGUACCCCGUGCUGAUCCCAGAGUGUCAUGAUAUGAAAUCCAGCAAUACUAUUAUUCUUUGUUCAGAAUGAUUUUAGCCUGCUUUAGUUUGUUUAAUCUCAAUAUUAAUGAUGAUAUGGAUAACUACAUGUAUGUUUAAGUGAAUAGGAUUGACAAUCAUGUCACUAAGUUUUUGUUGGAUAGUUGAAUAGAACUAUUUGCAGUCUUGCUGUUUGAAUUCCCACUUUAUAUGUUCCACUUUUGUAUCUUGAACAACUAUUUGUAAAAGGAGAGUAUGUAAACAUAAACUAGUGAUUUCUUAGUGUUUUUCUCUGAACGUAUGUAUUAUUUCUACCCAUUUUCUGUUUUGUUUAGUCUUUCUUUAAAUAAAGUUAAAAAAUAUAUACUUAUAAACUAAAUCUUAAAUUUUCAAUUUAUGUAAUUUUAAACUCGCAAAGUACAGGCCAAAUAUUUAAUGUAUUGGACAAAUAAUUAUUAUUUUUAUUUUUGUCAUGUAAUUUGGUUUUCGUCUAGAUGUUCCCUAAAGGCUUGUGUGGUCAUAGGACUUUUUCAGAAGCUGAAUCUAGAAUGAUUGAUUUGUAGUACAAUGCUGGGAUUAAGGGUGCAUGAUUACUGAAUCAAUCCACUGAUUGGACUGGAACCAUCCUAAUCCCAGUGGACUGGAUAUGAUAUAAAGAACAAAAAGAGACCUGUCUUUCUCCCUUGCUUGCUUGUUUUUGCUGUCUUCACCACCAUGAACAGUUGCUCUCCUGCCAUGUACCACCCUACCUUGGAAAUAGCUGAUUCUGGACUGAAACCUCUACAAACUGUGAGCUAAAACAAAUCUUUAACUUUGGAUGUCGGCUAUUUGGUCUUAUGGUAGAACAUACCAGCCCUCCCAGCCAGUAUAUUUCAAUUUUUGUUAGUUUAACGUCCUGUUUACUUCAGUUCCUGUUACUAAUUACUGUUACUACUAUCUCCUAGAAAUGUGAUGCAUACUGUGUAUGAACCAAUCACAACUGAUAAGCCAUUCUGUAUAAAAACUCUGUCCCUGAGUCAUCAGGCCCCAACUUCUUUGGGAGUGAUUCCAAUCAGGUUCACCAGUGUAAAUUAAGCUGAUUCUUGCCUUCAAA